CCAACCGACAUAAUACAAAACUUGAGGCAUCCGGCCGGAGAGAGACUCCACCAACACACCAAAUCAAAAACAUAUCCCCCACAAUAUCCGAAACUGAACCACACGCGCCCUCUAAUCACCUGUGGAAUCUCUCCAAAUAUUCGCAAAACCCAACUCCCCGCCACAUAAUCCCCCAUAAGCUCCACCCUCACGUGAACCCCACGCUCGCUCUCCCUAGUAUACUCGCCUUUCCAUUGGUCCGUAAGACGUCACUCCCUAACAUGGCGCGUGAGUCAAUCACCCCCUCACCCGUGCUAUGAAACUUCCCGGGCACGACUCUUUUGGUGCACCCACACGCUUCGUCCACUUCACCGCUCCCUCACGAACCCCUCCCUCGCCGUACACCUGUAAGAUAAGGAUACAGAGAGAGAGAAGAGAGAGAAACUUGGUGAGAGAGAGACUGUGAAGCGUUUUAGAGAGAGAAACUAGAGAGAGAAGGAGCGAGAUCUGGUCGAAGAGAAAGGCAAACGAAGCUCGAAAAGCUCAAAAAGCUCGAAGCUUCCCCCUACUGUUGGUUGUUGGUGUUGUUGAUGUUGUAAGCCCUAACUUUCUCUCUCUGUUUUGUUGUCUUUUGGUGGGAAACCCUAAUUUGAUUUUUGUGUCUGUAUGUGGGUGUGUGAGAUUUGGGGGAAAUACUAGGGUUUUGUCAAAUUUUUUUUUUUGUUCUCUUUUGUGGAGAGAGGGAAAGCGGAAAAAAAACCUGGGAAUCUUGGAUCUUUGCGAGAGGGGAAAAAGUGGGGGUUAGGGUUUUGGGAGGUACAUGUAUGGCUUCGGAGCCUAUAGUAGGAGAAGGUGAUGGAGCCAGAGAGAAGCAGAGGUACACGGAGAGCAAGGUCUAUACUCGAAAGGCUUUCAAAGGCCCCAAGAAGAAGAGCAUCGACAACAACACCACCAAACCCACAGAGGCCAACCCAACAGCCACAACCGCCACCGCCACAACCACUACCGCCGUAACCGCCCCCUCCGUCACCACAACCACCACCGCCGACGACGACAAUAACAUCAACAAGAACGACAACCACCACGACGAGAAAGACAACAACAUCAACCAGAACGACAACAAGAAGAGCGACAAGCAGGAUAACAACAAGAAGAAUGAUGAGAAUGAGAAUUCAUCCCAGCCUCCUCCUCCUCAGACUAUUGCGUCUGAGGAGGGGAAUUCCGCUCAGCAGCAGCAGCUCCUUCCGCCGCCUGAUGCUGCUGCCUCUGGCGAUUCCUCCAGCCUGAACCGGCAAGAGGUGGCUGUGGCAGUGGUGGAACCUGAAAGUCGGGAUCCACCUGUGGAAAAUGGGCUGGCGAAGGAGGGGCCGGAGAACCGAAUGAAGAUUAAUUUGGCUUCAAGGUCGAAGCAGGAGAUGCGUGAGCUUCGGAGGAAGCUUGAGAGUGAGCUUGAUAUGGUGCGGAGUUUGGUGAAGAGGAUUGAGGCCAAACAGGGGCAGAUUGGUGGGUUUAAUCACUCCCUUGUAACGAAUGAGGGGGUCAAUAAUAGUGGUGCAGUGCUGAGACGGGUUCACUCUGAGGUUGCUUCGGUUGGUGUUCCCCGUGAAGUUACCAGGCCUUUGCAUCAGCUGAGUAUAUCAGUGUUGGAGAAUAGUCAGGGAAUGAGUGAUAUUGUGGAGAAAGAGAAGAGAACCCCCAAGGCGAACCAGUUCUAUCAUAAUUCUGAGUUUUUGCUGGCUAAGGAUAAGUUUCCGCCUGCUGAGAGUAAUAAGAAGACGAAAUUGAAUGGGAAGAAGCAUGGUGGAGGAGAUUUAGGGCAAGGGUAUGGCAUGGGAAGCAAAUUUUUCAAGAGUUGCAGUUCUUUGCUUGAAAAAUUGAUGAAACACAAGCAUGGUUGGGUGUUUAAUGAACCUGUUGAUGCUGCCAAGCUUGGUUUGCACGAUUAUCAUAUCAUUAUCAAGCACCCAAUGGACUUGGGUACCAUUAAGUCGAGGCUGAACAAGAAUUGGUACAAAUCUCCGAAAGAAUUUGCAGAGGAUGUGAGACUUACAUUUCACAAUGCCAUGACUUAUAACCCACAAGGGCAGGAUGUUCAUGUUAUGGCAGAGCAGCUAUCCAGGAUAUUUGAGGACAGGUGGGCUAUCAUAGAGUCAGAUUAUAAUCGUGAGAUGAGAUUUGGAUAUGAUUAUGGGGCUAGUCUUCCUACACCUACAUCAAGAAAGGCACCUCCACUGCCACCACCUCCUCUUGACAUGCGAAGGGUUUUGGACAGGUCUGAGUCUAUCUCUCAUCAUGUUGAUCCCAAGCCAAAGCCCAUGACUAUUACUCCUAGAACCCCCGCUCCAAAGAAGCCCAAGGCUAAAGAUCCUCAUAAAAGGGACAUGACUUAUGAGGAAAAACAAAAGCUUAGCACAAGCCUCCAGAGUCUACCUUCAGAGAAGCUGGAUUCCAUUGUACAGAUUAUUAAGAGGAGGAAUUCUGAGCUAUUCCAGCAUGAUGAUGAAAUUGAAGUGGACAUUGAUAGCGUUGAUGUUGAGACCCUGUGGGAGCUUGAUAGGUUUGUAACCAACUACAAGAAGAGUUUGAGCAAACACAAGCGGAAAGCUGAAAUGGCUAUGCAAGCCAGAGCAGAAACUGAGCAGAAUGUCCAGCAGCAGACCCAGGACCCCAUUGUGGCAGAGGUGCCCAAAGAAACCAAAACAGAUGAAAAGAUUAUUUCUUCUUCAACACCCAUUCAAGGGGACAACCAGGGUGAUAAUAGGAGUAGGUCAAGUAGUUCAAGCAGCUCUAGCAGUGAUUCUGGAUCUUCCUCAAGUGACUCAGAUAGUGAUAGUUCGUCAGCAUCUGGAUCAGAUGCGGGGUCGCCGAGGACUUAACGAUUUAAUUUUGAGGCGUUGAUGGAGGGCUGGGAACACAAUUACAUUGUUGAGGUGCAGAGAAUAGAACUUGAAGAUGUGGUAUCUUUCAGAUGUCUGAAAAUUAGGGUAGAAGGUGAUUUUGCUGCAUGGUGAUUGGAAGCUUUUCAGACGAUGGAUUUGAAUCUACAAUUGGUGUAUAGUGGAAAUUUUCUCCAUGGGCUCCAACCAUCCUGCAAGUAUAGAAUGGGGUUGUCACUUUUGGGUUAAUUGGUUCCUCAAUGCCUGCAAGCGGCCCCUAUUGGUCUGGUCAGAAUCAGAAUUUGUAUAAUAUUGGUAGAAUGUGGUGAUAAUUAGUUUCUCAUAGCACGUGUACAUUUUGCUAAGUACUGCUACCCGUCUAAAUUCCGGUGACUUGGUUUCGGUUUCGUGCUGACAGAUUCAGGAUGCUUUGGUUUUACACAAUAGAUAGAUAGUCUGUAAUCCAAGUUGAUUGAGUCAAAUUGCUCCAUAUGAAUUUUCUUGUGUUUUCAUGAAAUGGAUAUGUUGGUAGAUUUGUAUGCACUAGUAGUAGUCUCAAUCUCAACAAGAUCAGCUUAAUUGUACUCUGAAUUGCCGGAGACGAAACUCGAUUUUAUGCUCUGUUUUGGUUGGAAAAAAA